ACACACCUCAGCUAAGAAUGAGGCCUGCUGAUUCCAGCAGCUUCCCUGUGCUCUCUGUCUGUGUGAGGGGGCAUUCGCAGGGGCCGCGGGGACCCCACUGAGUACCUUCGUUCACCCACGGUUAAGAGAGCACCCCAUCUGUGAGGAGCCACGCGUAAACCCAAAAGACCUACUCCUAAGGGGAGAAACUUCUCCCCAGCGCAAGGCUUCCUGAGCGGUCCUCACAGCAUCUCGGGAGCAUGUCCUGGCCUCGUCCCUGAAGAGGAAGGGGUUGACCCACCUUGCUGGGGCUGGAGAGAAUCAAGUGUGUAAGAACAAAUUUAUUUAGGCACAUUGAUGUGCACGCCUGUGAGAUUGCAGAGGCUGUCAGAGCUCGAGGUCCCAAGAGGCAGGAAGAAGUGCUGUCCUCCGUGUCCCCUGUGCCAUCAUCCACGUGCAGACUUACCACCCCCAUGACCGACACUGGAUGCGUGGAGAUGUGUGCAGCAAGCCAGAAGCAGUCGCAGCUGAAAAUGCAGUAACUAAAUGAAACAGGUAUUCAUGAAGUCCUGGGUGAACGAAUCACGGCUAUCUGGAAAAUGUGCUUGCCGCUGCUACAAGCCUUCCUUCCUUUUUUCUUUGACAAAGACAACAAAUGUUACAUAUCAUUUCUCAACCAU